rnacentral:sRNA from 1 species
AAGACCAUCACACCACAUACAACACCAUCACACAAAAACCAAAAACACUACACCAAAAGCAACACCAUCACACCAAAUACAACACUAUCACACCAAAUACAACACCAUCACACCAAAUACAACAACAUUACAUUAAAUACAACACCAUCACUUUUGAAACAACACCAUUACWUUACAUACAACACCAAC